GCGCAAAUCUGUUCGGCCGAGCGCCUUAGUAAGGCGUAGGUCGACGGUUCAAUCCCGUCCUUGGGCUCCA
rnacentral:tRNA from 1 species